CCUACGGGAGGCAGCAGUGAGGAAUAUUGGUCAAUGGACGGAAGUCUGAACCAGCCAAGUCGCGUGCAGGAAGACGGCCCUAUGGGUUGUAAACUUCUUUUGUACGAGAGUAAAGCUGAAUACGUGUAUUCAGCUGAAUGUACCAUACGAAUAAGGAUCGGCUAACUCCGUGCCAGCAGCCGCGGUAAUACGGAGGAUCCAAGCGUUAUCCGGAUUUAUUGGGUUUAAAGGGGGCGUAGGCGGAUUGAUAAGUUAGAGGUGAAAGGUUCGGGCUUAACCCGGGAACUGCCGUUGAUACUGGGGAUCUUGAGAGUAGAUGAGGUAGGCGGAAUGCGUGGUGUAGCGGUGAAAUGCUUAGAGAUCACGCAGAACACCGAUUGCGAAGGCAGCUUAC
rnacentral:rRNA from 1 species